UAGUAACAACAUAGAAAGAAACAGGUAUUCUUCAACUGACUGCCGAAGUUAUCUUCACCCAUUAGAGCUCCAAUAAAAAGUACUCUGCUCAACCAAGUAUGACCCCGAUUAUUCUUCUAGCCGGUUAGAAUAGUCCAAGUUAUUCGGGUUUUUUUUUUGGCUUUUGCAAUCUAUGAUCCGACUUUAGUCGAACAACUUUGAUUUCACAUGGUGCACUGCAGAACAGACAUAACGAAACAAAUAUUGUCAUUCCUUUAAUAAUAAUAAACCUAUUUUCAAACAGAUUGUCGGUUUCCAAUAUAUCCUAGUUGAUAAGAUAAUCAAGAAAAUACCAUUUGGGAAUCGUGAAUAAGUCAAUUUUCGAACAACAGCUGAUUUCAAUUGAACAAUAAUACAAAGCAUUCCAAUGAAAUCUAAGAUGAUCAAGAAUAAACCAUGAAUGUUGUUUGAUAUACUUUUGCUGAAGUGCUUUUGCCGGAACAUUUUGGCCAAACUUAAUAGCUGAAUAAGAUGUAUAACCAUAGACAUCAACCUGUACUAGAUUAUUGAAAAAUUAAUCCAGUGCAGUUGAGAAACAGAGGAUAUGUUACUCGGCUGGAGAAGAUAUACACAUAACCAAGAAAAAUAUCAUCCCUACAUUUAAUUACCAACCGGGUAAAUAAUUCACAAAAUCAAUAAAAAGAGGAUAUGCUAUGAGGUAAUUUUAACAUGCAAAUGUAUGAGUUUUCACUAUAAAGAAUAUUCGAUUGAAGCAGAAGCAUGGAUGAUCGAAUGGCGGUUAUACCCGUUUAUUUAACAAAAUAUGCUAUUCGAAAAAAGGGAAAAUGCUGAGCGAUUUUGAUAAGUUCAUUACUCGUGAAUUCAUCAGUAGUAAUAAAAGAAUCUAGUGAUUAAGAGAAUACCAGGGAAUUUAAAGU
rnacentral:lncRNA from 1 species